rnacentral:pre_miRNA from 1 species
AGCUUUCUGAACCCGUGCGGAGAUUUCAUAAGACACUAAUCCAUUAGGGCUGAUCAGACUUCCAAGAUGAGUGAAGUU